AUGGCAGUAGCUUUCGUAAUAACUAGUGCCUACGCCAAUUCUGGGGAUUAGUUGCCAAGUGGACCCCAGGCUCCCAUGAGCCGUGGCAAAAUGCCGGGACAACGCGAGGAACAUGAUGGUACAUUUUGAUGUAUUCAAAACGUACUUAAAUAUAAAAUACAGUACGUAGCGGCCCCCUUUUUUAAAUAUCUUUCGUUAAAUUUAAAUAAUCAUGAUUAUUUAGCAGUGGCGCUAGUGUGCACAUUGAUGGGCUCUUUUGCGGCGUUAAAUUGGCAUUCACUGCAGCUGCAAUUUUAUUAGUAAUUUUGCAAUAUUUUACGCAUCUUGGUAUCCUUUUGUCUAUGUUGUUUUGUAACGAUUAAUUUUCGUAUAAAAUGUAUUACUUAACAAAGAUAAUUAAAAGAACCUUGUUUUCUGUAAACAAGGUGGAAAAUGUAAUCCAAUUAAAAACAAUAGAUUAUACAUACAUAUUAUACGACCUUUUCAUACUUACUAGUUAAGAAUUUUGUGAAUUGUUACUGGAUUGUUUUAUUUACAAUUUACGUGUUUUGUAAUUACAAUUACAUUUAGGUACUGUUAGCUAAAAGAAAAUAUACGCUGGGUAAAAUUUGAGACCGUUUGAGUAUACCAAUAGACAUUUUAUUUUACCUGAAUGCAAGUUUUAAUGUUAAGAGUACAAUAUUUCAGAGUUUUGCCUGUACUUAUGUACAAUUUGUAAAAUAUUAUUUUUAAGUUGUUCCAUAGAUAUGAAAGUCUGCCUAGUCAUAGGGCUAAAGAAUUAUUUAAGCUUGUUAGACUAAAAUACCGGUCAUUUAUAAACUAAAUCUAAUUCUAAACCUAACCCUUACUCAAUUUAUAACCUGUAUCACCGCCCCAAUUUGUGUAAAAUUUAAUAUAGGAAGUAUGUAAAAUUGUAAAUGUACUGGCUUGUCUAAUUCAGUAAUAGUUUUAUAUUAUCUGUUUAUUUGCUAUAUUGAAAAAUGUUGAUUCUUUUAAAUUUUACUGGUCUCGAACUAAAAAAAUAGUAAUCCAAUUGUAUCUUGCAGAAUAUACUAUAUAGGCCCCGGUAAAAAUAAAAUUUGAUAUUACCGAUUAUGUAUUCAUUAGUAUGGUACAGCUGUGAUUCAUUUGGCUAAAAAAAAAACAAAAAUAUUUUAGCAAUAUUGCUUGGUAAACUUUUUCAAAACACGAUCUACUAUUUCAGAACGGCGAAAUUAGAUCAUUUUCUAGUGCCAAGAUUCAUACCAUUUUACUGAUUUAUUUAAACGCCGUUAAAUUUAGAUUAUAGUAUGAAAAAUACAUUUGUAAAUGAGCAAUUAUCAAUGCAAUUAGAUAGUUGAACUACCUAUUACAUACUAUUAUAACACAUUCAGUGCCAGCGCGAGCUACGCGCUAUUACCUAAACUCUAAAUCAUAAUUAGAUUUCAAAAAAAGUAAGACAAUGUUGCCACUUUUUACUAGCGCGUCUUGUAUUUAUGUAAAAAUAAGUAAGUAAAAGUACUUCUUUAAAUCGUAGGAGUAAAAUUACCAAUAAAUAAAUUAUCUUAGCGUGUUUAUUUGUAAAAAGGAAUUUACUAUUUUACAAACAAAUUAUUGCAGUGGCAACAUUGUCUUACUUUUUUUGGAAUCUAAUUAUGAUUUAGAGUAUAGCAUAGCGGAUAACGAGGGAAAACCUUAUGUAGCUAAAAGUGCCUACAAAUAGAGAACCCGCCUAGCGGGUUGCUGGCAGUGAAUGUGUUAAGCAUACUAAACGUAGUCAUAUAUAAAACGGCCUUUAUAGCCGUAACACACUACCGCACCGCGACCUUAGUGCGGUACGGUAGUUAUUUACGGCUAUUAAUCUUCCACCCUACAUAGCCAAAUGAAUAACAGCAGACGAAAUAAUGGUAAUACUAGAUACAAAUAGAAAUCAUGACGCUAUAUCUCUCUCUCUUUUCCUUUCUGCGUGUAUAGUGAAUAUGGGAUGAAUAGUAGGUAAAUUAGACCAAAAAGACAUGGCCUAUGAUCGUAACUGAAAUGGUGCUAUAGUCGUGUAGAUCUCAUAUCAGAUUGUGAGAGACGUGCUUGAGUUGUAGGUUCGCAGUAAUGAAUCGGUUGUGUUACGUAAUGUUACAGAUUAUUCUUAGUACUUAUAGAUAAUUAAAUUAUUUAAUAUUUAA